rnacentral:rRNA from 1 species
UACGUAGGGGGCAAGCGUUGUCCGGAAUCAUUGGGCGUAAAGAGCGUGUAGGCGGCCCGGUAAGUCGGUUGUGAAAGUCAAGGGCUCAACCCUUGAAAGCCGACCGAUACUGCCGGGCUAGAGUCCGGAAGAGGCGAGUGGAAUUCCUGGUGUAGCGGUGAAAUGCGCAGAUAUCAGGAGGAACACCGAUGGCGAAGGCAGCUCGCUGGGACGGUACUGACGCUGAGACGCGAAAGCGUGGGGAGCAAACAGG